rnacentral:rRNA from 1 species
UAUAGUGCUUGCACUAUAGAGACCGGCGCACGGGUGCGCAACGCGUAUGCAAAUCACCUUAUACAGGGGGAAUAGCCCAGGGAAACUUGGAUUAAUGCCCCAUAAUAUCAUUAAGUAGCAUUACUUGAUGAUUAAAGAUUUAUCGGUAUAAGAUGAGCAUGCGUCCAUUAGUUAGUUGGUAAGGUAACGGCUUACCAAGACAGCGAUGGGUAGGGGCCCUGAGAGGGGGAUCCCCCACACUGGUACUGAGACACGGACCAGACUCC